AAUCAACGCUGGCGGCGUGCCUCAGACAUGCAAGUCGAACGAUUAAAGCUCGUCUUCGGAGAGUGUAUAGAGUGGCGCACGGGUGAGUAACACGUAAGUAAUCUACCUUCGAGUGGGAAGUAACGUCCGGAAACGGACGCUAAUACCGCAUAAUGCAGCGGCAUCGCAAGAUGACAGUUGUUAAAGAUUUAUCGCUUGAAGAGGAGCUUGCGGCAGAUAGCUUGUUGGUAAGGUAACGGCUUACCAAGGCUACGAUCUGUAACCGGUCUAAGAGGACGGUCGGUCACACUGACACUGAAUAACGGGU
rnacentral:rRNA from 1 species